UACGGAGGGGCGAGCGUUAUUCGGAAUUAUUGGGCGUAAAGGGCGCGUAGGCGGCUGUACAAGUCAAAGGUGAAAUCCCUCGGCUCAACUGAGGAACUGCCUUUGAAACUGUACGGCUUGAGGCCGGAGGGGUGAGCGGAAUUCCCAAUGUAGCGGUGAAAUGCGUAGAUAUUGGGAGGAACACCAGUGGCGAAGGCGGCUACCUGGACCGGUUCUGACGCUGAGGCGCGAAAGCGUGGGGAGCGAACAGG
rnacentral:rRNA from 1 species